UAUUCUGCCCUACAGGGAAGGAUGAGAAGCUUCGACUAAGGUUCGACUCGAGCGAAGCGAGAGAACGUUGCCGCAGGCAACGGCCCGAGGCGAGGCGCUUUAGCGCCGAGUAAUCCUUCCCCACCACCA
rnacentral:sRNA from 1 species